GUACCAUCCUGGAUCCUUCAGAACCAAAGACUUGCCCGCAGUGCUGUCUGCAGGAAAAGCAGCCCUUGAUUCUUAACACAGGCUUGAAUGAGCUACACCCGUUACGUUCCAAAGGUCAAAAUGGGGGAGGCACUUGCUGUCUAAGAGUCCAACAAAGAAAGAGGGAGCACUGUUCGCAGGAGCACCCUGCUAACAGAACAGCGAAGCAGCUGGGGUGGAGGCGCUGUCUCUCUCGUAGCUGGUCAGGGACGUUUCUUCCUUUCUCCUGAACUACGCGAUUCUAAUUGGAAUGUUCAUUUGCCUCUUUCUUCCUUUAAUGCUUGUAGGUGGCUUGGGGUGUGCUAUCGUGCUGUUCCUACUCAGUAAACAGGUGUGAUGAGUUAACAAGAAAUAUCACUGCUUGAGGACUAGCUUUGAAUAAUACUUUUCCCUUUGUACAUGACCUGCUGAAUUUCGGUACAGUGUUUUGUAGCUGACUUAUUUUGUCAUGCACAUGAUGUAUAUUUGUUAUGCACUACCUUUGUAUAUCUUGUUUUUCCAACAGUGAACAUUUUUAGGCACACUUUUCACUGACGGGAUAUCUCUUUAUGCAAUACCUCAAUUUUUCAUAUUGCAAAGAGUAGCUUUUUGUACUUUUAUUACUGAGAGAUCUUCAUAUACUUCAUUUUUUAAUAUAAAUAAUUUUAAUAAAUUUUAUUUUCUUAUAUUCUGCUUUUUAUACAUUUCAGUGCUCUGCAUACAUUUUAAAUUAUGAAUGUUGUGCACUGGCAAUGCUAUUUUAGAGUCUGCAGAGAAGAGAAAGCAUGUUGCUUAAACAUCCUUCCCCAGCACCAGCUACUGGUGUACCUAUAAUUUAAGAAAUAGUCUAUGUAAAGUCACAAAUUAAUGGAAAAAAUUCGCAUGAAAAUGACAAGAUAACACUGUAGUUCCUCAAAAAGAGAUUAACUGCAUAACCAUAGGAUAGAAAUUUAAAACCACAAAAUUGUCUACAGCUUCUUACUAAGUUUUUUAAAUUAUUCAUAAAAUGCAGACAUUUUGGGUGAAUGUUUAAUCAUUUUUAAUCUUAAUUAAUUGAUGUUACCUGUUUGAUUCAGAGAUGUCUGCUCUUUUAAAUUCUAUAUAAUAAAACGAGAUCGCCUGGCACAGGACAGGUGUGUAAUGUUAGUAUGCAUGACUAAUGUAAGAAAUUGUUAUUCUGCUAAUAUUUCCUUGUGAUUGUGUGACAAGCGUGUUUACAGAUGAUUGGUUCACUUCUUUACAGGGCAUAAACAAUGAUUAUCUAUUACUCUGAACUUUAUGAUUACAUGUCCUUCAGAUUACAUGGGAUUGUAGUUGGGAGUUACCAUGUAACUCAAACAUUAUUAACAUGUAAUUAGUUUACAGGUUUUAGGGUAUCACUUCAAUUUACCAAGCAUGUAGUUCUAGCGCACUAGCAUGGCACCAGCCAUGUAUUUACAAUGUAGUUACAGAGUAAUUACAUGGUUAUUUUUGCAAUGUAAAAUAAAGUGUUUCUGAUUAUUUUCUAUGUAAAGGACCCCCCACCCCAUCCCCAUCCCCUGGCUUUGGUAUAAUAUAUUUACUUCUCCAUACACAGACCUCUGCAGAAUGCAAAAUAAAACUUGCAGUGAAUGAACUUAGCAUUUUAUGAGAGUGCUGUUGGAAAGACUUGAUAAUUCACCCCUUUUGUUUUGAAGAGUCGAAUCUUCUGUUAAAAGGUGAUUUAAAACUUGAAUGUGAUGAAUUGUGGCGAGCUCACUCCAGUUAUGUGCAAUACUUAUCUCACACUUUGGAAGAUCUUUGCAGUGUAAUUCUUUGUUUUUAAUUGCAGACAUUAAAAAAUGUCAUUUUCUACUGUUAAGAGUAAUCCUCUUUCUUGCUGGUGUUUCUAAAGAAAAGAAUCAGAAAUCAAUCUUUCUACUAAUGUAAAUUUGAGAUUAUUUUUAAAAAUGGAAUAAAAGAGGUUUUGGUCAUUUGCUUUAUUUUAUUAUCUUAUUUUAAAGCUACUGUGAUUGAUAGCAUUGUAAGAAUUGGGACAAUAUUGUAUUCAACUGUUUUAUUUUUUAUAUUUUUAAAAUUUAAAGUAUAAUUAGUUUUUAUAAUUUCAUCAGAUUUUUGUUAUAUUUUUUGGAAGUGAAACUUUUAGCAAGUGGGUGUCUGGUUUUUACUGCUCCCUAAUUUCCCAGUGUAUUGCUCACACUAUCAGAAGGCAGCGUUAUUUAAGUGUGUCAGUUAAUUGUACUACUUGGCUGAAUUUCCAUAUAGUUUUUACUGUGUAUGGGGAGGUUGUAGUAUUUAUUCUAGCAUUUUAAAUAAGGGUAAUUCAUUUUUUUAUUAAAGUCAUUUUCACCUUAAGUUCCUAUUUUUGUAUGUUCUACUCUUAAGUUAUAUAACACAGUUCCUUUUUUAAAAGAGUUCAUUUGUUGAAGUGCUAGUGGAAAAUUAAUGUUAUUAAAUAGUUUGCAAAUGACUAUUUAUACCAGUAUGCAUAUAAUUUUUAAAUAUUUGUAAUGUGAGAUGUUGAAUGAAUAAAACUUUUAACUCAGA
rnacentral:lncRNA from 1 species